rnacentral:rRNA from 1 species
UACGUAGGGUGCAAGCGUUGUCCGGAAUUAUUGGGCGUAAAGAGCUCGUAGGCGGUUUGUCGCGUCUGCUGUGAAAACGCGAGGCUCAACCUCGCGCCUGCAGUGGGUACGGGCAGACUAGAGUGCGGUAGGGGAGAUUGGAAUUCCUGGUGUAGCGGUGGAAUGCGCAGAUAUCAGGAGGAACACCGAUGGCGAAGGCAGAUCUCUGGGCCGUAACUGACGCUGAGGAGCGAAAGCGUGGGGAGCGAACAG